ACACCUGGCUAAUUUUUGUAUCUUUUUGUAGAGAUUGGUUUCGUCACAUUGCCGAGGCUGGUCUCGAACUCCUGAGCUCAAGUGACCCACCCCACCUUGGCCUCCCAAGCACUGGGACUACAGGUGCUAGAUACUCUCAGCCCUUUUGGCUUUGUCCAUCUGCUUCAGGUGCCAUGGAAGAGUUCCAAGCGACUCUGGAAGAAGACACUUUGACCAAAAGGAAAUUAUCAACAUGGCAAUUUGAUUUAAAUGGUUAUCUGGUUAAGAUGAAAAAGACAUCAUAUGCAGCAAGUCUUCAGACAAACUCAACCAACUGUCAAUCAGAAAAUGUUUAAAUUCAACAAUAGCCUGAAAGCCCCUGCUUUGAGUUGUUCUGCCUUUCUGGACCAAACCAAUGUAUUUCUUAAAUGUAUUUGAUUGAUGUCUCAUGCCUCUCUAAAAUGAAUAAAACCAAGCUGUGCCCCAACCACCUUGGACACAUGUUCUUGGAACCUCCUGAGGGCUGUGUCACAGGCCAUGGUCACUCAUAUUUGGCUCAGAAUAAAUCUCUUCAA
rnacentral:lncRNA from 1 species